GACUAGGGACCGGGGAGAGGCGUAAUGUCUUUGGAGAAAGGGGCUCCGUUUGGAUAUUCGCUCUGGGACAGGAGGGAGUGGCGGGGUAAGCCACAAAGGGCGGCAAGGGGGCGCGACAAGGCCCGCUGCCAAGGCGCCCGAGGCCAGGCCGGGACCUUCGGGCGGUCGCAGCUGGAACCGGGAAGCAGAGGGGCGCAGACGAUGCGAGAAAAGUUAUGGAUGCCCUGGAACGGGCUCAUCGUCAUUGGGAGGAAAAUGGAGCUCCUGGGUAGAAAGACGCAAAAACCUAAAACGUGGGACCUGAAGCUUGAGUCUGAGAACUGGAGACUGGAAGAUGUGGAAAAGCCAGUCUUAAGAGGAAAGUCAGGCCGGAGUCCAGAAAGGAUGGAUGUGAAACGAGUGCGCAGUGUAUCAAGUGCAUUACAGGUUUCGGCCGGUUUGCGGAAAGACAGCUCAAUAGAGGUGUGGGGAAAGCAAGAAUUCAGACACAGAGUAGAGGCUGAAUCUGAGAGUGCAGGGACUGCAGCGGGAUCUCGGAAGGGGCCUGAGUUUAAAGAGAAGUUGAAGUUUACUGACGUGGAAACCAGUGGAGAGGACUUGAGAUCCAGAGGAUACGAAGUAAAGCAGAAUGAGGAGGAGCUGAGGUCAAGUGGAGAGAAACUGAGGUCAAGUGGAGAGAAACUGAGUCCCAGUGGGGAGAAGUUGAGAUCGAGUAGAGAGGAGCUGAGAUCGAGUGGAGAGAAGCUGAGAUCGAGUGGAGAGAAGCUGAGAUCCAGUGGAGAGGAGCUGAGAUCGAGUGGAGAGAAGCUGAGAUCGAAUGGAGAGAAGCUGAGAUUGAGUGGAGAGAAGCUGAGAUUGAGUGGAGAGAAGCUGAAUUCGAGUGGAGAGAAGCUGGAGUCCAGGGAAGAGAGGCGGGGAUCCAGGGGAGAGAGGCGAGGAUCCAGGGGAGAGAGGCGGGGAUCCAGGGGAGAGAGACGAGGAUCCAGGGGAGAGAGGCGGGGAUCCAGGGGAGAGAAUCUGGGGACAAGUGGAGAGAAGCUAGUACCCAGGAGAGAGAGGCGGGGGUCCAGGGCAGAGAGGCGGGGAUCCAGGGGAGAGAAUCUGGGGACAAGUGGAGAGGAGUUAAGAUCCACUGGAGAUAAACAGCGGUCAAGUACAGAGAAGCAGCGAUCCAGUAGGGAGAAGCUGGGGGCUAGUGGAGAAAAGUUGGCGCGUUCAAGAAUGGGCAGCAUAAAUGAAGAGCAAAUUGAGAAAGUGGUGGAAGUGAUUGGGGAUGAAAAAUUGAUAGAAAUUACCAAUGCUGAGAUGGAAAUUCCUUUUGAAAGUGUAGAGGCGAAUGAUGAAGAGAAUGAGAAAGGGGUGGAGGAGGAGGAGGAUAUCUUGGAAGAAGAGAAUGAUAAUAGUGAUGGAUCUGUUUCUAUGGAAGAGAAACCAAUUAUAGAGGAGGAAGAUGAAGUGAGUGAGGAGAUGGAGAAUGUAAGAAGGAAAGAGAAGCAAAUAGGGGAAGUUUUGCAAGUCAAAGAGGAGAAAUUAGAGUGAAGCAGAAUGUUAUUGACCCUGAAGAGGUAAAUAUGAGAGAGAAAGAGCAUCUGAGCCUAAGAGAAGAAAGAGUGGGAUUGAAGAGCUACUGGGAAUGAAGGUGAACACCAGGACCAAAGGAAGUAGAGAAGUCUGAUAAAGAGGGAAGUGGAACAUUUUGGGAAGAAAGAGAAAAUUUGUUAACGUGUCGAUAGCUAGAGGAAAAGUGGAUGGUGGUUUCUUGGAAAAGAGCUGUGACUAAGGAGCUUGUAGAGAGGUGCUUGAGAAAUGGAUUGAGGAUGGGCUAGAAAGAUUUAGUUUAACAGAUGAUUGAGUUUAUGAGAUGUAGGAGAAUGCAUAGUGAGAAAAAUGGACAGUGGCAGCAGGAUGUGGCUAGAUCAUGAAGGUGGUGGAAGGAGAUGUGGGCUGGAGUGGUCAGUGUCUGAUAGAGGAUCCUAAAGCAUGAGGAUCGCGACAAAGGCGAGAGCAGAGAUGAGAAAGAAGUGACGGAAAAAAACCACUGCCUCCCCAAGAUCAACCACUCUGGGCCUCCUCUGGUGAUAUCUGAGUGUAGAGAAACUGUUGCCCCUCUUCUAAGAGGCCUGCACAGGCACCCAGUCAAGACAGAUAGUUUACUGUUACGUGAAUCUCUCAGAUUGCGCUUCGCAGUAUAUAAAUUGUGAACUAAAUCAUCAAACUUGUUCUUUGGCUGAAUUACAUUUUCUCCUGGAAUAUGAGAUGCAUUCCACUGAGACCACAGAAAGAAAAAGUGAAGAUCAAGACACCAUGACACCACCUUGUGUUCUGCCCGUUGGAUCCACCGGAAUGAGCCUUUCCCCCUGCUUCAAGUCGGCAGCCGUGUGGUUGAUCUCCCCCACUUGCAGGACAACCUUCUCGGCCUUCUGCACCUCCUCCACCGCAGUUUGUCAUUCUUAUUGGCACCUGCGCAGGGCUCAAAAAACACCCGUGGUGUGGCUGAAUGAGUGACAGCGUCGGGACUGGCAAUGGGACUGGGCUACCAACCCUUCUCCCAGAACGUAUGCCAAGGGCCCAGGCCUGGCAGCCGCCUCCUCCAUCCCUGGCGAGGCUGUGAUGGAAGAACACUGAACGGGCACUCAGGCACCCGGGUCCCCGAGCGAUCAGGUUUCCGCAGUGAUCCUAGGGUUUUUGACUCAGCCAGGAAAAAAGCAGACCUCGCAGCCUGGCCCUGCACUCUUCUUGUUACUGCCAGCGGUGGACCCCUGGGCGCAUCACAGACUCAUAACCCCACCACUGGUCUUAGCCCCACAGCCCCAGCCAGACAAACCCUCAGCCUCUGGAAUGUAUCGGGUAGCAUGAGCGAGGCUCCCCAGUGCUGGAGCCGGGCCACACCGCCUGCACAUGGAGCAGUAGACGGAGGCGUGACAGCAGGACUUUGCCUGGCAAAUUCUCACCUGCAUCUCCAGGUCAGACCCCACCCUACGUCCAGGGUGGUCCUGCAGGCUGAGCAGCUCCCCUCACCUGGACAGCAGCAGCAGGUGGCACAGACAUCCAGAUGCCCUCCUUCGCACCUGCUGGGCCUGCCCCUGGGUGUAGGUACCCCUGCCGCCGCCGCCACUCCCACCACAGCCGCCAGAACUGCGGUGGGGAAAACCACUAGGAUACAAGGCGGCCAACAAUUUGAACAAGCGGAAUUUCUUUGUCCUUUGUAAAAGUCAACACAUGACCUGUUACUGAUUGGGAUGUGAAAUAAAACUAAAAAUAACAGCA